GACCGCGUAGCUCAGCUGGAAGAGCAUUGGGCUAGUAUUCCAAAGGUCGUAGGUUCGAAUCCCACCGUGACCG
rnacentral:tRNA from 1 species